AGGCUCUGGACUUUGUGCCAGGAGAGUUUGGACUCCAGCUGACGAUGAGCCAGGGCAAUAACCCUGAAGCCCUGCCUGGUGUAGGUCUCCAGAGUCUCUGUGAAACUCUGUGGGACUGAAGAGAAGAACAUGCAAGUCUGGCUUGUGAUUUUUAGAGACAUGUCAAAGUAAUGGAUGAAAUAUCAAGCCGAAGCUGACACAGAGAGAAAUGGCAGACCUGUGUGCUGUCUGCAGAGGCUGGUCACAACUUCUGGUGCUCCUUUCAAGAGACUGUUACUUCACCUGCAUAAGAGCAGUGGUACCUUGUUCAUGAUACUGAGGAUGAUGGUGUAGAUGAAUCCAAUCCCUGCCACCCCCACCAGACACAACAAGAACAGCCUUCACCGGUUCACCAGCAUAGAAGCGGGUCUGGAUCACCUGGGUACCACAAAACAGGGUGUGUCUCUUGUGCUCCUCCAUGUCGUAGCUCUUGGCUGCCUCCGCACCUGAACUGGGCAAACUGGUCUUGGUAAC